AAGCGCUAGAUAUAUUCGGUUUUGGCUCCUAAUCUGAAAACUCCCUCAUUCUUCUUCUCCCAAUAUGGAAUAGUACUUUUUUGGAGCCCUAAUCUCCAAAACAGUUUGCCUCUUUCUCCGGCCAAAUCGAGUUCAAUCUCGCCAAGGGUUUCGAAUUCUUAAUCAUUAAAAGCGGCCGCCCGUACCAUCCUUUAGGUCUCUCUCUCGUUUGAUCUCUCUAUUAUAUACAUUUCCAAUUUCAGUUAGGGCUUUGGCGUUAUAUGCAACAUUAUGGUUUUGGUCACAGCAGCUGUCUGCAGCGGUUGGUCAGCUACUGAUGCCUUUUACUUCAGCUCUAUUUUAUGGGAACGAGUACAAUUUCAAGACCGCCUUACGAGCUGGGGGUUUCCUGUCCACACACUCAUUUUGGUUUAAGCUGGCCUUGUCAUGAAUGAUGCAAAAGUAUAUAUGUGUCCGAACUUGAGUGUCCCUCCUUUUCAUUCAAUAGAUCAAGGACUUGAAGUUCGAAGAACCUGUUCAGGAAGAAAGUACAGAGCAAGUAUAAAAAACGAUGAUGGCAAAGAACAAGAUGAUGUACAAGAGACUUUUUCUUUACUAUUGUUAGGAGUGCUUUGGAGAUGAUCCCAUUUGUACAUGCUACUAUUUUUCUUUUUCUUUUUUUUAGGAGUUGACAGAUACAAUAUCAUACAAUUUGGAUAGAUAUAUUUUACGUAAUUUGAUCCUUUAGCUUUUUGUAAUUAGUUGUGCAACUUUAUACAUUGAUUAUUUUGUAUGUUUUGAUUACUAUUUAGUUUUUA